GGCUCGGUAGCUUAGUUGGUAAAGCGCUCGUCUAGCAUACAAGAGUCCUGGGUCCGAAUCCCAGCCGGGCAC
rnacentral:tRNA from 1 species